UGACAAUAUAUUUUUAUUUCAUACAUAUAUAUCAAUUUCAGAUUCAGUUGCUGAAUUAUUUUUUCCUGGAAUUAUUCAUAAGAUCAAGUUUGUUUGUAAUUGAUCUUCCACAAUAAAUGUUUUGUCUGGUAUUCAUAUUUUUCAUCUUUGAUGUUAAACAUUAUUUUUGUUGUUCAUGAUAUUUGUUUGUAAAACUCAAUACAUUGCUUACAAUAGCACUGAAAGACCUAUUGAAAAAUAUAUAAUAUAAAAUAAAAUUUUGAUUAUUUAAUUGC
rnacentral:misc_RNA from 1 species